GCCGCCGUAGCUCAGUGGUAGAGCGAUCGGCUGUUAACCGGAAGGUCAGCGGUUCGAAGGGGUCGAACGGACGAUCCGUGACCCAGAAAACCCGCUCGGCGGCGCCU
rnacentral:tRNA from 1 species